ACAAGUGACAGCAAUGAGUUAAUCAGCAGACAACAAGGAAGGGAGCGGCAGGGAGCAGGAGCUGCAUCACAUGACAGAAAACACUGAAAUCCUUUCACUGAGGAAAGAAGGUGGGCAAGACUUGAGACAACCCACACAACAGAACACAUCUCCUAAAAAGCUCUUCAAACAAGAUCUCCACAGGUGGGCGUUCCAUCCUCACAGCGGGCAGACCUUGCAUCAUUAGGUCCUGUGGAUAUAAGGAGCUGCAUGACAACCUCUCUUCACUGGAUCUCAUUCAGUUUCCUUGUUCCAAGCGUCCACCUGCAAACCUACAACAUCAAGAUCUCUUCCAGAACCUACCUACUCGUUCCACGGUUGUUCUCUGUACCGUCAGUGUCUUCCAGAUUUCCACUUGCCUGCUCACUCUCAGGCACUCACUGUAUUCCCUAUAAAAUGACAACCUGACUGAGAAGUGACACUCCCAUCUGAAUUUUCAAAGACAUUGCAACCAGAAGCUAAUAAGAGCAUCUUAAUUUGCAGAGCACCUGUUGCCUUUUCACCACCAACUCCACAGCUGAAUAACAUAGAUGAUCAAGCGUCCUGCACGGGUCAAGACACCAACAACAGGGUCUUUACACUUUCAGGCAAUGUGGGGACGAGGUGUCCAAACACAACAUCCAGAAGAAGUAAAUCAUCUUUUCACUUGACCCAUGUUUGUGCUUCAGUGGAGCAUCUGUAAAAACCACAUGCAAUCCAUUUCCUCCAUUUCCAUGUAAUAGAAGGAGUGAAGAUAUUAAAUAUUUUGGUAUUCAAUUGGAUACUCCCUCGAAUGAUCAAAUAAUGAGAAUCAACUCAUAUGCCAGCUCAAGAUUCCUGUAUUCCAGAGGUCACCAACUUUUUUGCAACUGAGAAUAAUGAGAAGGAGAACCAUUUUUGAUAAAUACAGUUUACUUAGAACACUUUCA